ACCAUCCUUUUCUUGGGGUGGGGCCACUGUCCAAUGAGCACCAAAUGAGGGCAGUACUGCUAACGCCUACACAACAUACACAACACACCUGCAUCAACUAGAGCUUUGCUUUAAUUCAGUGCAAUUUUUGGAAAA
ensembl:snRNA